GGCAUAAAUUCCUUAAGAAGUGCUGUGAGGAAACACUCAAGAAGCAGUUUUCGAGAGGAAAAACAAUCACGUUUCCAAGACCCAAGAAAGCUUUUCAAGGAUGUGACAUCAUGUUUCCAUGGCAGUGACUUACAUUUCCCAGUGCUAAAUUAUACAUCUCACCUUUAAAAGCCAUGGACCACACACACAAAAGGUGAAAUGGUCACAAGAAAGAAAGUAAAGUUUGGACCAAGGUGCAGAACAAUGGCCCGGGUGCAAGUGAUUCUCGGUGUGGCUCUUGUCCAAGAGACACAGCGUGGCAAUUCAUUACCCCUGAAGAACUCAGAGGAGCCGGAGUGAUUACCCUCAUCCAUUUCAGACAAUAAUGGCUGCUGAUACGCGGCUUCUCUGCCGUUCAAUUCAACAGGACAGCGUGUCUUGAUAUCCGUGCCAGGAGGUAUUUUGUAAUUACCAGGGAGAGCGCUCUCGUCUGAGUCAGCCGCUUCUGUAGCAUAGUCUGAGCUUCAGUGGGUGAUGUCUGCUGUGGUGUGUGUGUGUGUGUUUGUG